UGGGGAAUAUUGGACAAUGGGCAAAAGCCUGAUCCAGCCAUGCCGCGUGUGUGAAGAAGGUCUUCGGAUUGUAAAGCACUUUAAGUUGGGAGGAAGGGCAUUAACCUAAUACGUUAGUGUUUUGACGUUACCGACAGAAUAAGCACCGGCUAACUCUGUGC
rnacentral:rRNA from 1 species